rnacentral:rRNA from 1 species
AGUGAACGCUGGCGGUAGGCCUAACACAUGCAAGUCGAACGGCAGCACAGUAAGAGCUUGCUCUUACGGGUGGCGAGUGGCGGACGGGUGAGGAAUACAUCGGAAUCUACUUUUUCGUGGGGGAUAACGUAGGGAAACUUACGCUAAUACCGCAUACGACCUACGGGUGAAAGCAGGGGAUCUUCGGACCUUGCGCGAUUGAAUGAGCCGAUGUCGGAUUAGCUAGUUGGCGGGGUAAAGGCCCACCAAGGCGACGAUCCGUAGCUGGUCUGAGAGGAUGAUCAGCCACACUGGAACUGAGACACGGUCCAGACUCCUACGGGAGGCAGCAGUGGGGAAUAUUGGACAAUGGGCGCAAGCCUGAUCCAGCCAUACCGCGUGCGUGAAGAAGGCCCUCGGGUUGUAAAGCCCUUUUGUUGGGAAAGAAAAGCAGCAGGUUAAUACCCCGCUGUUCUGACGGUACCCAAAGAAUAAGCACCGGCUAACUUCGUG